rnacentral:lncRNA from 12 species
GACCUGGCUAAAGUCCCAUGCUUGUAUAAGCAAGGGCUGGGGUUUCAUGAUAGGUAGUUAAACUCCAGAAACUGUGCUCUUCGCUGCUAGGCUCUCCUGCCUCUGUAUAAAACGAAUAACAUGACCAGAAGCAAGAUGGAAAGAUGCUCAGAAGGUACAUGUGCCGGUUUGCAAAAUGCAUGAUGAGUGGAGUUGAGAAGAAGCUUAAGGAAUUGUGGCCAGAAUAGGGAGGGGGCUGCGAUCCCAGCCAGGAGAAAUGUUUGCCCGUACUGGGCGUGAUUGUCCCAGAGGGGGCCAGAGACAGGCCUGAUGGCCCACUUACCCUCCGAUGUUGGAAGAGGAACGGGAAACGUGGAUCAAACCAGUGUCUUCACUCUUGAGAAACACUGCGUCUCCUUCAAUAAAUAUAAAAAUCCUGUACAUCCUGGAGACUCAGAACAGAGAAGAAUGACGCAGAAGCCCUAGACCUCUGGUCGAACAGCCGCAUCUGAAAAGGAAAUUGAGGCUGGAGAAGAGCUGUGAAGAGGAAGAAUCCGGACUGGACUACUGGAACGCUGCAUUCCUGAUUCCUCACUGGCCCUUUCUCUUUCCCUCUGCUCAGAGAGGCAUCACCCCAUCACAAGGCCAAGUGAGGAUCUGUUCCAGGGUUCUCUGUGUUUCUCAUCUUCCCCUCCAGAUGUUAAGAGGGUUCCAGGAAUGCUUGACAGAAGCAAACCACAACAACUAAACAUCCUAGUCUCAUAGCAUGAAUUGUGCAAAAAUGGGGAGGAAAGAUUGAUUACGGAAUGUCGGAUCUCAGUUCCAAUCGAUAUUUCAUCAGCUUAAGAAAUGAAGGCGCUCCAGGAGCCACCCCACCCUGCACGAGGCAGAGAAUGCAGCAGGAAGGAAGUUGGAGCCUCAUACUUUAUCUCUCCCUCCCCUUGUAGGCAUUUUUUUUCCCCUCCGCUGGAGAUGUAGCACAGGCUCAGACACACAUCUCCUUGCUCUUUCUGCUCCGGAUCUGGCUAGAGAAUCAUGCCAUCUCAAGGCUACAAGGGACUUCAAGGGUCAUGUAGCCCACUCCUGAUUCAGAAAUGCUAAUAAUAGGGGCACCUGGAUGGCUUG